rnacentral:rRNA from 1 species
UCGAACGAUGACUUUUGUGCUUGCACGAAUGAUUACUGGCGAACGUAUGAGUAACACGUGAGUAACCUGCCCCUGACUCUGGGAUAAGCCUGGGAAACUGGGUCUAAUACUGGAUAUGCACCGUAGACCGCAUGGUUUUUGGUGGAAAGAAUUUUGGUCAGGGAUGGACUCGCGGCCUAUCAGCUUGUUGGUGAGGUAAUGGCUCACCAAGGCGACGACGGGUAGCCGGCCUGAGAGGGUGACCGGCCACACUGGGACUGAGACACGGCCCAGACUCCUACGGGAGGCAGCAGUGGGGAAUAUUGCACAAUGGGCGAAAGCCUGAUGCAGCGACGCCGCGUGAGGGAUGACGGCCUUCGGGUUGUAAACCUCUUUCAGUAGGGAAGAAGCGAAAGUGACGGUACCUGCAGAAGAAGCGCCGGCUAACUACGUGCCAGCAGCCGCGGUAAUACGUAGGGCGCAAGCGUUAUCCGGAAUUAUUGGGCGUAAAGAGCUCGUAGGCGGUUUGUCGCGUCUGCCGUGAAAGUCCGAGGCUCAACUUCGGAUCUGCGGUGGGUACGGGCAGACUAGAGUGAUGUAGGGGAGACUGGAAUUCCUGGUGUAGCGGUGAAAUGCGCAGAUAUCAGGAGGAACACCGAUGGCGAAGGCAGGUCUCUGGGCAUCUACUGACGCUGAGGAGCGAAAGCAUGGGGAGCGAACAGGAUUAGAUACCCUGGUAGUCCAUGCCGUAAACGUUGGGCACUAGG